rnacentral:rRNA from 1 species
UACGAACUGUGCAAACGUUAUUCGGAAUCACUGGGCUUAAAGCGUGCGUAGGUGGUUUGUUAAGUCUGAUGUGAAAGCCCUGGGCUCAACCUGGGAAUGGCAUUGGAUACUGGCGAGCUAGAGUGCGGUAGAGGGUAGUGGAAUUCCCGGUGUAGCAGUGAAAUGCGUAGAGAUCGGGAGGAACAUCUGUGGCGAAGGCGACUACCUGGACCAGCACUGACACUGAGGCACGAAAGCGUGGGGAGCAAACAGG